rnacentral:rRNA from 1 species
UUUCCGGUUGAUCUCGCCGGAAGCCACUGCUAUUGGGGUUCGACUAAGCCAUGCGAGUCUAUGGACUUCGGUCCAUGGCGGACGGCUCAGUAACACGUGGCUAACCUACCCUCAGGUGGGGGAUAACCUCGGGAAACUGAGGGUAAUACCCCAUAGGGGAAGAGGUCUGGAAUGAUCCUUCCUUGAAAGGACAUCCGCCUGAGGAUGGGGCUGCGUCCGAUUAGGUAGUUGGUGGGGUAAUGGCCCACCAAGCCUACGACCGGUAUGGGCCUUGAGAGAGGAAGCCCGGAGAUGGGGACUGAGACACGGCCCCGGGCCCUAUGGGGCGCAGCAGGCGCGAAACCUCCACAAUGCACGAAAGUGCGAUGGGGGAACCCCAAGUGCCUAUGCACAGCAUAGGCUUUUCCCAAGUGUAAACAGCUUGGGGAAUAAGAGCUGGGCAAGUCCGGUGCCAGCAGCCGCGGUAACACCGGCGGCCCGAGUGGUGGCCACUCUUAUUGGGCCUAAAGCGUCCGUAGCCGGUCCAGUAAGUCCCUGUUUAAAUCCUACGGCUCAACCGUAGGGCUGGCAGGGAUACUGCUGGACUUGGGACCGGGAGAGGACGAGGGUACUCCAGGGGGUAGCGGUGAAAUGUGUUGAUCCCUGGAGGACCACCUAU